UCUCUGACAUAGAGAUCAUAUUUCAUGAGGGUGAGGCAGAAAUGGCAGCCGUCAGAGACAUGUAUGAAGGACUGGAUGUUGAAGACAUGACUGAAACAGAACAAAAGAGACACAGAGAGACGCAGCUGAACGAACAUCCAGAUGUUCUCUUCAGAAUAUAUAGACGUGACCGUCUGCAUGUUCUGCUCUUCAGACCCUCAGAUGAUGGCUGGUGGAUAAAAAAACUUAGGGAUGGAUUUAACGGAAUCUUUUCUCAGUGGACUUUCAAGCAUGCUGUUAACCAGCCUAUUCGACAUGUGAUGAAUCUCUCCGGUGAUCGGGAUGAGCUGCAAAGAUUCUGUGAUGAGUUUCCAGUCAAUCUGGAGGAGUUUAAUGCCCAUGUCCAGGAAACUGAAGAUCUGACAGCAAGAAUAAGAAAUCUGAGAGAAAAAAUAGAAGAUGAUAGCGAAACAAUACGAGAUCUGGAAGAAAGAAUACAAGAUCUGGAAGAAAGAAUAGGAGAUCUCGAAUUAGAGAACAGAAAACAGAGACAACAAUGACACAACUCAGAAACAAGUGCUUCUUAAAACACAAGCUGUUUGUCACCAUGAGCUUUUUAAAAAAACAUGAAAACUGAGUCAACCAGCCUGUCUCAUUAACAGUCAAACGAAAUGUUGAGAAAACUCAUAUCAUGAACCUUCAAGAAGACAAGUCAAACAUUUACAUAUGAAUACACACUAUUUACACUAUAAGCCCAACAGACCACUCAGAUCAUUAGGAUCGAGUCAGUUAGAAAUACCAAGGGUUCACACAAAACAAGGGGAGUCUGCUUUUAGCUAUUAUGGCGCCUGUAAUUGGAACCAGCUUCCAGAAGAGAUCAGAUGUGCUCCAACAUUAGCCACAUUUAUAGACUCAAAACUCAUCUGUUUAGCUGUGCAUUUACUGAAUGAGCACUGUGCCACGUCCGAACUGAUUGCACUGUAUUUUAUUCAUAACUGUUUUAAUUCAUUUUAAAUCAAUUUUUAAACCAUUUUAAAAGUUUUUAAAUUCCUUGUUUUUAUUGUUGUGAUUGUUUUUAAUGAUUAUUUUACUUUCUUUUAUGUAAAGCACUUUGAAUUACCAUUGUGUAUGAAAUGCAGGGGCGGACUUAGUGAUUUGGGGGCCCUAGGCAAAUUUCGGGUUUGGGGCCCCAACACAAUAACUACGUAUAUGCUCUUUUACGCCUUGCUAUAACUAGUUUAUUUACCCCUUCAAUAAUUAGUCAACCUGAUGCUGUUCUAAAGCCAUAUUACCUCAUUUGCUUCAGAUCACAAUAGAGGAUGUUUUUUUGUUGUUGUUGUUUUUUAAAUGCUUGCACUUGUCCAUUUAAUGAAUUGUAAACAUCUUCAAUCUUUUUACAAAAAGGAUUCAAAUGUCAUAAUUAUCCCAUGCAACUCGUUCCGUAUUCCAAGUGUUCUGAAGGCAUAGGGUAGGGUUUGCCGAGAAACAAAUCGUGAAUGAAGUCUGUUAUUAAGCAAAUAUCUCCAGUCAUGGCAUUCGUGCAUUUAUACGAGUGCGUGGCAGUUCACACCGGUGCGCAUAGGAAAAGCACACAAGCGACUCAUUUCGAAACAUCAAGACAAAUAAAAUUAAGACACAAACCAUGAUACUUUCUUCUCUGAGGUUAAAGGGUUACUCCACCCCAAAAUGAAAAUUUUGUCAUAAAUUACUUACCCUCAUGUCGUUCCAAACCCUUAAAAGCUUGGUUCGUCUUCGGAACACAAUUUAAGAUAUUUGGGAUGAAAACCAGGAGGUUUGAGACUGUCCCAUUGACUGCCAAGUAAAUACCACUGUCAAGGCCCAGAAAAGUAUGAAAGACGUCAUCAAAAUAGUGCAUCUGAAUUUGAACCAAACUCACUUCAAAUCUUUGCGAUCUCACGACGUUCCGUUAAUAAGCUCUCUGAACAAUGAAUCUCUUAUUUACCUCGUAUCUACGUAUUCUUAAAAAGAGAGAAUUCACGAGCUUGCAGAACUCAGCACCUGACAAAAACUGAGUGAACAUUUGAUGCUCUCCAUAACACAAUACACUGUGGAGCCUUUGCCAAACAUGUUUCGCCAAUAUCAGAUGGGGUCCAGUGAUUCCCCGGGGCCCUAAGCGGCCGCUUACCUCGCUUAUUGGUUAAGUCCGCCCCUGAUGAAAUGUGCUAUAUAAAUAAACUUGCCUUGCUUUGCCUUGCCUUGGCUAUUUGA